rnacentral:rRNA from 1 species
UGGGGAAUCUUGCGCAAUGGGCGAAAGCCUGACGCAGCGACGCCGCGUGAGUGAUGAAGGCCUUCGGGUUGUAAAGCUCUGUGGAGAGGGACGAAUAAGGAUCCGUGAAUAUCGGAUUCGAUGACGGUACCUCUUUAGCAAGCACCGGCUAACUCUGUGCCAGCAGCCGCGGUAAGACAGAGGGUGCAAACGUUGUUCGGAAUUACUGGGCGUAAAGCGCGUGUAGGCGGCCACUGCAAGUCGGGUGUGAAAGCCCUGGGCUCAACCUAGGAAGUGCACUCGAAACUGCGGGGCUUGAAGUCUGGAGAGGAAGGCGGAAUUCUCGGUGUAGAGGUGAAAUUCGUAGAUAUCGAGAGGAACACCGGUGGCGAAGGCGGCCUUCUGGACAGCACUUGACGCUGAGACGCGAAAGCGUGGGGAGCAAACAGG